rnacentral:tRNA from 1 species
GAUAAAAUGGCUGAAAAUAGGUUGUAAAUUGUAAAUUUAUAUAUAGAUAUUAAAAAUAUCUUUUUAUCA